rnacentral:lncRNA from 1 species
GCCAAAUUUAACCAAACUUGGCCACAAUCAUUACUAGGGUAUCUAUUUUAAAAAAGUGUCUAAUGACCCUGCCUACCAACCAAGAUGGCCGACAUCAGUAAAUACAGUAACAGGUAAGCGACAGAGGCUCUUGAGAGCCUCUAGUUUAGGCGAUGACAGUGUCAACAAUUGUUAAGUUUGUGCUCAAGUUAAUAGGUUGAAAGGAUCGAUUUGUGAUAGAUCAAAAAUGUUUUCUUUAAAGUUGUAUUACUAUCUGUUCAUACCUAGGACAUGGUUCAGUGACUGAAUUUAUAAACUACAUGUUGCUAUCCAUCCUAUUGUCUUUGCUGAAUUUAUGCUGACAAGCAAGACACAUCUCUGUGUUAACAGUUUAUAUUUUUAAAAUUGGUCUGAGCAAAAACACAUCUCAAUUCCAUGGAGAUUAUUUGCUCCCACCUGUCAGUCCAUUAAUUGAAAGUUUUGCUAUGUUUACAUGUGGAAGAGUUGCAAUUUAAAUUUGAAAAUAUGCACUUUAUUAUCAAAAUUUAAGGUGUACAGAAAAUAAGAUUUUACAGUUUUAUCUUUUACUAUCAAACAAUAUGGGAACACUUUAUAUGUGAUUAGACAAACAUUUGAUAAUGACAAAAUUAGAUAAACUAACAGAAAAUUAUUUAAGGAUGCAUAAAACUUUCUUGAGUUACAUUGAUGACUUUAAAUUGAUGUUUUGUGAGGUGAGAGAAUUAAUCCUUAUUAAUUUCAAAGACAAAGGUCAAGGUUAUUUAAGUUCUGACAGAAAAGGCUUGUCAGCACUAUGCAUUCAAAUUUUAGAGGUUGGGGGGGACUUUUUGUUUGGGGGAGAGACUUGUAAAAAUAGCAUUUCUUGUCUGGUUAUCCUCAAAUCUGUUUGAAGGUAUUCAUCACAAACUUUUUUGUUUUGAUUAUAAGAAAAAAAUCUAAAUAUGGAGAAGAUUUUUCAGGGAAUUUGAGAAUGAGUUUUAUCUUUGGUGAUUGUCAUUUGUUGUUUUUAUUGUCAGCCUUUUUACAUUCAAUAAAUUAGUUAAGAAUCUCUGUUUGCUAUUCCAUAUACAGCAAACAACUUAUGAAUGUUGUCCAUAUGUGUCCUUAAACAUCUUUCUUUACAUGUGAAUCCCCUGAAAUCUAGAUUUAAUGAUAAAGCUACAAGGGGGUCAUAAGUAUCGUACUUGCCUAUAAAGUGAAUUUCUAAAAUACUUAUUGAGUUUGAAGCAUUUUCAGAACGUCCCAAAUAAUGAUUAUCAGAGCCUACAAUACCAAAAGUUUUUGUCUUUCCAGUUAUGUCAUUUUUUUUAAAGUAAUGACACCAAUUAAUAAUAGCAAACAGUCUGUAUUAUCUUCUCUGCUCAUCAUACUUUAAUCAUUUAUAAAUUAUUUAUUUAUCAUAAUUAAUACUUGCUAUCCCUUGGUAGAACCAUAUACUUUUCUGCAAUAAUAGCUGUCAAUUGAUUUGCCUCAGUAAAACUAAAAUUUCAAUUUAUUACUUGUUAAAUUUCCAACUCGCCUUAAUGGCAUAUGUCAUUGAUUGUCUGUUUUGCUUUAUUAAAUAAAAGUUCAUAAAUAAUUUGAUUAAAACAUAUUAUAUCGGCUAAUUGAAACUAAACUGUAUAUUAUCCAUCGUUUAGCACUGUAAUUGUACAGCAAAGACCAAUAAAAUGUCUAUACAUGUGUCACACAGAGAUGUUUUAAAAAAAACGGACCAGAGCACUUUUAAGAUGAGAACAUUUUUCAAGUGCUUCCAAUCAAAAUGCAUGCUUACGGUAGUCUC